AAUAACAUUAAAUAUCCAAAUGGGCUGGGGAGACAGCUUGGUGGUCUAAGCACCUGCCUGGCAAGUGCAAGGAUCCAUGUUCGAUCCCCGACACUGCAUGCU